rnacentral:rRNA from 1 species
ACGUAGGAGACGAACGUUAUCCGGAGUUACUGGGCGUAAAGGGCGUGUAGGCGGUUUGUUAAGUCUGGCGUGAAAGCUCUCGGCUAAACCGGGAGAGGUCGUUGGAUACUGGCAAACUAGAGGACGGUAGAGGCGUGUGGAAUUCCGGGUGUAGUGGUGAAAUGCGUAGAGAUCCGGAGGAACACCAGUGGCGAAGGCGACUUGCCAGAAUGCGCUCGACGGUGAGGGAUGAAAGCUGGGGGAGCAAACCGGA